CUUGAUCGACCCGAGCCGCAGCGGGGUGUCCCGGUCCUGGCCGUAGGUGUCGAGCAGGGCCUGGGCCUC
rnacentral:antisense_RNA from 1 species